GCGGGCAUUGCAUACUGCAGUCGUACGCACUGGCCCAACUGAUUGAUGGUGCUUGCACCUGAUUGACGAUGGAUUACCAGUGAGUGGCGGACGGGUGAGUAACACGUAGGUAACCUGCCCCGGAGCGGGGGAUAACAUUUGGAAACAGAUGCUAAUACCGCAUAACAACAAAAGCCACAUGGCUUUUGUUUGAAAGAUGGCUUUGGCUAUCACUCUGGGAUGGACCUGCGGUGCAUUAGCUAGUUGGUAAGGUAACGGCUUACCAAGGCGAUGAUGCAUAGCCGAGUUGAGAGACUGAUCGGCCACAAUGGAACUGAGACACGGUCCAUACUCCUACGGGAGGCAGCAGUAGGGAAUCUUCCACAAUGGGCGCAAGCCUGAUGGAGCAACACCGCGUGAGUGAAGAAGGGUUUCGGCUCGUAAAGCUCUGUUGUUGGAGAAGAACGUGCGUGAGAGUAACUGUUCACGCAGUGACGGUAUCCAACCAGAAAGUCACGGCUAACUACGUGCCAGCAGCCGCGGUAAUACGUAGGUGGCAAGCGUUAUCCGGAUUUAUUGGGCGUAAAGCGAGCGCAGGCGGUUGCUUAGGUCUGAUGUGAAAGCCUUCGGCUUAACCGAAGAAGUGCAUCGGAAACCGGGCGACUUGAGUGCAGAAGAGGACAGUGGAACUCCAUGUGUAGCGGUGGAAUGCGUAGAUAUAUGGAAGAACACCAGUGGCGAAGGCGGCUGUCUGGUCUGCAACUGACGCUGAGGCUCGAAAGCAUGGGUAGCGAACAGGAUUAGAUACCCUGGUAGUCCAUGCCGUAAACGAUGAGUGCUAGGUGGUUGGAGGGUUCCCGCCCUUCAGUGCCGGAGCUAACGCAUUAAGCACUCCGCCCUGGGGGAGACGAACCGCAAGGUUGAAACUCAAAGGAAAUUGACGGGGGCCGCCCAACCGGGGGAACA
rnacentral:rRNA from 1 species